rnacentral:rRNA from 1 species
UACGAAGGGGGCGAGCGUUGUUCGGAAUCACUGGGCGUAAAGGGCGCGUAGGCGGCCCUCUUUGUCGCGUGUGAAAGCCCCGGGCUCAACCUGGGAACGGCGCGCGAAACGGGGGGGCUGGAGUUCGGGAGAGGAGAGUGGAAUUCCCAGUGUAGAGGUGAAAUUCGUAGAUAUUCGCAAGAACACCAGUGGCGAAGGCGG